GCCUGGGUUUGGACUGAUGGCAGCCCAUCUCCCUGUGUCUCUCAUAGUGCCCAUGCCAGAGCAGACUGUGGCCUUGAACCAUUGCCUGGCCUCUGCCUGUAGGCUGCAGGCACUGAAGCAGAAUACACAGUG